AGAGCUUUAGUUUAAUUAAAAUAUCUGUGUUGCAAUCAGUGGAUGUAGUAAAUCUGCAAGCUCUA
rnacentral:tRNA from 1 species